rnacentral:tRNA from 1 species
GCGGGCGUCGUUCAAUGGCAGGACCUGAGCUUCCCAAGCUCAUGACGUGAGUUCGAUUCUCAUCGCCCGCUCCA